rnacentral:rRNA from 1 species
UUGAACGCUGGCGGCAUGCCUUACACAUGCAAGUCGCACGGCAGCACGGGUGCUUGCACCUGGUGGCGCGUGGCGAACGGGUGAGUAAUACAUCGGAACAUGUCCUGUAGUGGGGGAUAGCCCGGCGAAAGCCGGAUUAAUACCGCAUACGAUCUACGGAUGAAAGCGGGGGACCUUCGGGCCUCGCGCUAUAGGGUUGGCCGAUGGCUGAUUAGCUAGUUGGUGGGGUAAAGGCCUACCAAGGCGACGAUCAGUAGCUGGUCUGAGAGGACGACCAGCCACACUGGGACUGAGACACGGCCCAGACUCCUACGGGAGGCAGCAGUGGGGAAUGUUGGACAAUGGGCGAAAGCCUGAUCCAGCAAUGCCGCGUGUGUGAAGAAGGCCUUCGGGUUGUAAAGCACUUUUGUCCGGAAAGAAAUCCUUGGCCCUAAUACGGUCGGGGGAUGACGGUACCGGAAGAAUAAGCACCGGCUAACUACGUG